rnacentral:rRNA from 1 species
UACGUAGGUGGCGAGCGUUCUCCGGAAUUAUUGGGCGUAAAGGGUGCGUAGGCGGAGAGUUAAGUUUAUGGUGAAAGAGUGGGGCUCAACCCCAUACAGCCAUAGAUACUGGCUCACUAGAGUACUGGAGAGGGAAGUGGAAUUCCAUGUGUAGCGGUAAAAUGCGUAGAUAUAUGGAGGAACACCGGUGGCGAAGGCGGCUUCCUAGACAGAUACUGACGCUCAGGCACGAAAGCGUGGGGAGC